rnacentral:rRNA from 1 species
CUUGCCCCUCACAUAAGAGGUCCAGCCUGCCCAGUGACACUGUUCAACGGCCGCGGUAUCCUAACCGUGCGAAGGUAGCGUAAUCACUUGUUCUUUAAAUAAGGACUAGUAUGAAAGGCACCACGAGAGUCAUACUGUCUCCUUUCUCUAAUCAGUGAAACUAAUCUUCCCGUGAAGAAGCGGGGAUAAAAAUAUAAGACGAGAAGACCCUAUGGAGCUUCAAACAAAUAACACUUGCCCCAGACCCCUAAUUUCAGAAAAAUUUUCUACCCCGGCAUCAUGAUUAUUAGUUUUCGGUUGGGGUGACCACGGAAUAAAAAACAACCUCCGCAAUGAAAGACACUCAUCUACUUAAUCAAGGGCCACGACCCCACACAUCAACAAAUUGACACUAAUUGACCCAACAUGUUGAUCAAUGAAC